GAAGACUGAAGAGACCAGUGGCAGUUUUGUUGUGCCUUUUCCAGAUUUCAGCAGGCUUUCAGCACAGUGUCUCUUGCAGAUUACAGCAGAAGAAAGAAGUGUACGAGGUGACAUCUUCCAUUGGUAUCAUGGAAAUGUUUCUCUGCCUUACAUUGAAGGAGAUCAAUUAAUUGAGUGGCCGGUAAGGACUGCAAACCACAGAAGCAGACAAGAUGUUUAUCUUACACAAGAAUUACUGCCUAGGAUCCUUAGCAGAUAUUUGAAGUACGCAAAUGAAAAAGGGAUCCCAGAAACAAAUAGAAGAGAGUAUUGUUUAAACCCCUGGGAGAGUCACUCUACCAACCUAUAGACCCAACUGUGGUCAUAUGGAAAACCAACCCAACAAUUAACAACCACUUAUCUUUUCUGCCACCUUGUAUCUGAAAUAAACUCUUUGAACAGUAGGAUCAGAGCAGAGGAAGAAGAAAGGAGAAAUGAACAAGCUCAGACUAACACUGGGCACCUGAUGUGUUCCUGCAGUCAAGCAACAGCUGGAUCACCCCUCAGCUCCACAAAUGGCAGAUUGGGAGACUUCAAACUAUCAGAAAGAUGGGACUUUCUGGUGCCUAGAAAAUGCUCAAACAGCCCUGCCAUCAAAUGCCCUACUUCAUGCUCAAUAAACAUUUUAUUUAAACAUUAGCUGGCUCUGUCUCCCAGAGAAGUUGUCCCUGAUAUCAUGGGUUCACCUGCUUUUUCCCAUCCCAUGUCUCCAUUUCCUUUUGGCACAGAAAGAUGUUUUUUCAUAGCAUUACAUUGGACAGGAAUGGGGAAUUUGCCCAGCUGAAAAAUAGAUUUUGUCUUUGUUUUGCUCAAGUUAGUUCUUGAAGGAUGUUUCCCCCUCUUAUUGCAUGUACAAACAUGAGGGCACAUGCCAGUGCCUAGGGACAGGGAACCACAGGGGUGGCUUCGUUGGAGUCUGGCUUAGCCAGUUUACAUGGCCAUUGAAUUUAGAUGCCCUUUGUAGCAAUAGCCAUACAGCCACUGUUUUGCUGUAAUUGUGUACACAACGAGAAUACAAUGGAUCAAAGUAGCAACCCACAAACAAAUAAACCACCUCUCAUGUUCACUGCACUUAAUUUGAUGAUUUCUUAAUGUGAUCUUCCACUCUGACAGCAGACACCUAUGGAACCUUAUCUCUCAAGGUCACUUGUAAUUAAUUUGAUUCCUGUCAGCAAAGAUGAUCAGCUAACCCAGUCAAGUCAGCUAUAACAGCUUCCACAAGGAGACAGAAUUUGCAUGAAG